UACGGAGGGUGCAAGCGUUGUUCGGAAUUACUGGGCGUAAAGCGUGCGCAGGCGGUUCGUUAUGUCCGAUGUGAAAGCCCCGAGCUUAACUUGGGAAUGGCAUUGGAAACUGGCGGGCUGGAGUGCGGCAGAGGGGGGUGGAAUUCCACGUGUAGCAGUGAAAUGCGUAGAGAUGUGGAGGAACACCGAUGGCGAAGGCAGCCCCCUGGGCCGACACUGACGCUCAGGCACGAAAGCGUGGGGAGCAAACAGG
rnacentral:rRNA from 1 species